rnacentral:rRNA from 1 species
CCUACGGGAGGCUGCAGUGAGGAAUAUUGGUCAAUGGACGAGAGUCUGAACCAGCCAAGUAGCGUGAAGGAUGACUGCCCUAUGGGUUGUAAACUUCUUUUAUAUGGGAAUAAAAUGUUCCACGUGUGGGAUUUUGGAUGUACCAUAUGAAUAAGGAUCGGCUAACUCCGUGCCAGCAGCCGCGGUAAGACGGGGUAUCCGAGCGUUAUCCGGAUUUAUGGGGUUUAAAGGGAGCGUAGGUGGAUUGUUAAGUCAGUUGUGAAAGUUUGCGGCUCAACCGUAAAAUUGCAGUUGAAACUGGCAGUCUGGAGUACAGUAGAGGUGGGCGGAAUUCGUGGUGUAGCGGUGAAAUGCUUAGAUAUCACGAAGAACUCCGAUUGCGAAGGCAGCUCACUGGACUGCAACUGACACUGCGUCUCGAAAGUGUGGGUAUCAAACAGGAUUAGAUACCCCUGUAGUC